rnacentral:lncRNA from 1 species
ACAUUAAUGUGCAGGCAAAAUCUAAGGAUCCAAACUUAUGACUCUUAAUUAGGAAACAAUUAUGGAAAGCAUUAAAGAUGAUGGUUUUAACAUUGAAGAUAAUAAUGUUAAUCUGAUUUAAUGCAAUGAUAGGGAUAAGAGGAAUAAUAUUUAAGAUUUGAAUGGUACAAUAAUAGGACAACAUGUGACAGAUAACAUGAAUGUAUAAAAAAAGAAAACAAAAAAGAUGAAUCUGGAUAAGCUGAUGAAGGAUAAAGGGGUGAGCGACCUUACCAGAGGGUUGAACUUGGGGAAGGGAUUGAACAAUGGAAGACUAAUUUUAGGAAAGAA